rnacentral:rRNA from 1 species
AUGACGAGAUAUAUUUCAGUUACUGAGUGGCGCACGCGGUGAGUACAUCCAUGCGCGCGUGUGUGAGGAGGCUUGCUAGCUCUUAUAUGGGUGAGGGAGGGUUCUUCUUAUCGGGCUCGUUGACGCCCGCGACAGAAC